AAAAUGGUUCAAAAAACGAAAAAAUAUCACAUCAAAUCAUCCACCCUUACUUUUUAAAACCAUUUUCCAAUUUUGUACGUAUUCCCAUUUUGCAAGCCCACUUGCCAAACCUAUUUCACAUUGCAAACUAAACCCAUUUCACACAAAAAUGGUGAAGAAGAAUGUGAAGAAUUUCCAUCCCCACAAUAAUCACUUUCCCAUCUCACGAUCGAUAACCCACACCUAGUUGGAAUACAUUUCAAGUUCAAUAUCUGAUUGUUCAUAUUUGGCUCCAAAUUCAAAUUGAGGUAAAUGCCACUUUCAUUUUUUUAGAUUUACAUGUUUUGAAUAAUUUAUACUUUAAUUGUGUUAUGGUUGGUUGCAAUCUGAAGUUGAGGGGGUGGGGGGGAAUUCGUAUAUAUGGUUUCGAUUUAAUAAGUGACCAUAUUCAAGCUCCUAAAAAAAUUGAGAUUUUGAAACAUUUUCCAUAUAAUGUUGGGUAGAAUUAUUUAGUUUGUUUGAUUUUUUUGGUUUAAGAAAAAUCUAGAUUUGUUCCUUUAUUUUUUCUCCUUCUAUGUAGUAUUCCUAUUUUUUGAGUUAGAUUUGUUCAUUUAGACUUGUAACUAGGAUUACUUAAUUUUUAACGACAUAUAUGCUCUCUGUUUAUGAAAAAGCGAAAAUAUGUGAAAAAUGUAGUGCGCUCUUGUUUAAUGAAUUACAUUUAGGUUGCACUUGAAAGUAAGAAUAUAUGAAACUUUAGUACACUCUUGUUUAGUGUUAGUUGUAUGAUUUUGACAAUUUUACUUGAUUUUGAAGUUUUAUAGAGAAUUACUUUCCGAAUAUGUUAUUGUUUUGUGGGAUAUCGUUGAAGUAAAUUAUUGUCAUACUGUGUUAUGAAUUUAAGUUUGCAUGAAGUUUGUCUCAUUUUUUAAUUUAUAAAUCAAUUUAGUUACAUUUAUUUGUAAGCUUGUUUAUUUAUCUAUACAUUUUGAUAUUUUUUAUCGAGUCAUUGAUUCAAUUUUGAAUAAAUAAGGAGUUAUGUUUACUCUGUGAUUAUGUUUUCUCAAAGAUUUGAUUAUUCAAUUUGUAAGUACAAUAAUUUAAAUGCAUAUGUUGGGAUCUUUUUUAUCUUUUACUGACAGUGAGUUGUUAAAUCGAUUUAUGGUCUGUUCACUUAUCGUUUGGAUUGAAUUUUUGAGUUUAAUUUGAAUGUGGGCUAAAUUUGUGAGUUCAUAUGUUUUUGAAUUUGAUGUAAUGUGAUUUAAUUUGAGGAUUUAAAUAUUUGAUUCAUGAUAACAUAUGGAUAAUUCACAUAUUGUUCUUAUGGAAUCCAUAUGUCGAGAUAAACUAUCAUUCUUGACAGCUAUGAUAUGAAAUUCUCGAUAGUUGGUUAUUGUUCCUCAACAAUUAUUAUACAAUGUCAAACUUGUUUCAUAUGCUCUUCCACGUGUGUUACAAAGUAAAUAUAUUAAAUAUUAUAAUUUGAUUUUUGGUAUUUGUUCAUGCUACCGAUUUUUCAAUAGAUUAACAAACUAUAAUGCCAUUGGAGGAUUGCUUGAAGGAUACGUCAGCACCAUCUUCUAGUAAAGGUUGUGCCCUCAAAUGCUACCGAUCUAAUUGAAAAUGAAGAAGUGAUGGUGAUGAAGAAAUGAUGCUCAACGCAAAUUCGAAUACUGUCUGCUUUGAAACCUUUUCCAAUGCAAUAAAGUUACAUAGUGCAUUUAUCUUUGAUAAAGAGGUAUUUUUCAUGGGUUUACUUUGGUAUCGUGUUCAUAUUAUUGUACAAAAGUUCUUCACCUUAAUAUAGUAACAAAAAUUAAAAUAUUCGGUUCAGGCUAUGUUGUUCAGUCUUCAGGCACUAACGCUUACUUGCGGUCAUAUGUUCAUUAAUUUCCCUCAAAGUAAGCUAUACCUUUCUUGAGACUAGAACUCCAUGCACGAGGAGUGGUAAAAAACGAAGAAAAACAUGAAAUAAUUGAAUUUUGAUGAACUAAAAUUAUUGUCGUCCCUCUUUGAAGGGUUGAGAAUCGUGAAAUUUUCUAAGUUAUGAAACUCAUGUACCUAAUCUUUGUAAGUAUAACUUAUUUUCGUAUAUGUGUAGUUUAUUUUGUAGUUUUGCGAAAAUAUAGUUGUUUAGCCAUUGUGUAACUUGAUUAUGUGACUGUUACUAGUUGUGUAUUAUAAUUAUGGUCAAGUUUAGGUAUAUUUAGCCAAGUGCAAAAAAUUAUAUGGACAUUCUAAUUUCUUUUCAAUUUAAUCAACUGCCCUGUGUGAUAUAAUGACCAUCCUUUACUUGAAAUGAUGAGAUGUUGCAUGAUGUGGAAAUCCAAUGAAUAAAUUUGGAUGAUGUUAGUGAUUCAUAUACAUUAAUCGAUCGUCUUGUCAUGGUUACUGUAUCUACGCAUUGCUAUAUAUCCAUUAUAUUAUCUAGUUUGUUACAAACCGUUAUUUAUUUUUUGAUUUGUCUUGUGUCAAACUUGCCAACAUACAAUUGUCGAAAAUUAGUGCCCAAAAAGUUUGUUAAUACUAUGAUAAACACUAUUUGGUGAUUGUGUACUGAAUGACCAUAGUAGGGACAAUUUUCCAAGAAUUUGAUUAUAAACAUGCUACAAUUCUCCAAGAAUUUGAUUAUAAACAUGCUAUUUGGUUUAUAUAUGUGCUUAUAAGUCUCCUAGAAUUGUCGUUUCCAUUUAUGCUAUGUUUGCUAGAUGUAGGGUGUAUGUUGUUAAUUUUUGUGAUAUGUGAACUUAUCAAUUUAUCAUACAUCAUUAUCUCUAUCGUUUAUUUUGCAUGCGACAUUUGGAAUAUUGCGUUCAUCCAUGGGAAUCAACCAAUCAUACGUUCUGAAUGAGCCUCCGACAAUAUCUUAUUCUUCCCCGAUAUUUUCCAUCAUAGUCGUAUUGAAUGAUAAGGAAGUCACCUCUCUGAAGGUUUCACCUCCUAAGAUUAUUGUCAUAAGCUUAGACGAUUCUGAUGAAGACAAUGGGAGGAACAAUCAAAUGUCGAUGACUAUUGAUGUGGGCAAAAUUUGUGUACAUCAUUGACUAUAAUUAUUUAUUGUAGUUUUGUCAUGGAUUCAUAUGCUAACGUCUGUACAGAAUGUUAUGCAACAACAUAUCCAAUAUGCAUCUUAUUUGUAGUUAAGUUUUCAAGUUUGCAACCAACUGUCUAGAACGACAAGAUCCUUGUGUCAGGAACGAUAGUUUAACUUUUGGGACGUGAUGAAAUAUUUUGUUUCUAAACUUCAAUAUGACUAAUGUCCGCAAAGGUAAUGAAACAUCA
rnacentral:lncRNA from 1 species